rnacentral:rRNA from 1 species
CCUACGGGUGGCAGCAGUGAGGAAUAUUGGUCAAUGGGCGGAAGCCUGAACCAGCCAAGUAGCGUGCAGGAUGACGGCCCUACGGGUUGUAAACUGCUUUUAUACGGGAAUAACGCGCCUUACGUGUAGGGCUUUGCAUGUACCGUAUGAAUAAGGACCGGCUAAUUCCGUGCCAGAAGCCGCGGUAAUACGGAAGGUCGGGGCGUUAUCCGGAUUUAUUGGGUUUAAAGGGAGCGUAGGCCGCAUGUCAAGCGUGCUGUGAAAUGCCCGGGCUAAACCCGGGACUUGCAUCGGAAACUGGCAGACUUGAGUCCGCGGAAGGCAGGCGGAAUGCGUGGUGUAGCGGUGAAAUGCUUAGAUAUGACGAAGAACCCCGAUUGCGAAGGCAGCUUGCUGCAUCGGAACUGACGCUGAUGCUCGAAAGCGCGGGUAUCGAACAGGAUUAGAUACCCGUGUAGUC